UUGGGCAAUGGGCGGCUGCUUACACAUGCAGUCGAACGAUGAACCCGAAGCUUGCUUUGGGGGAUUAGUGGCGAACGGGUGAGUAACACGUGAGCAACCUGCCCCUCACUCUGGGAUAAGCGCUGGAAACGGCGUCUAAUACUGGAUACGAGACGCGACCGCAUGGUCAGUGUCUGGAAAGAUUUUUUGGUGGGGGAUGGGCUCGCGGCCUAUCAGCUUGUUGGUGAGGUAAUGGCUCACCAAGGCGUCGACGGGUAGCCGGCCUGAGAGGGUGACCGGCCACACUGGGACUGAGACACGGCCCAGACUCCUACGGGAGGCAGCAGUGGGGAAUAUUGCACAAUGGGCGGAAGCCUGAUGCAGCAACGCCGCGUGAGGGAUGACGGCCUUCGGGUUGUAAACCUCUUUUAGCAGGGAAGAAGCGAGAGUGACGGUACCUGCAGAAAAAGCACCGGCUAACUACGUGCCAGCAGCCGCGGUAAUACGUAGGGUGCAAGCGUUAUCCGGAAUUAUUGGGCGUAAAGAGCUCGUAGGCGGUUUGUCGCGUCUGCUGUGAAAUCCCGAGGCUCAACCUCGGGCCUGCAGUGGGUACGGGCAGACUAGAGUGCGGUAGGGGAGAUUGGAAUUCCUGGUGUAGCGGUGGAAUGCGCAGAUAUCAGGAGGAACACCGAUGGCGAAGGCAGAUCUCUGGGCCGUAACUGACGCUGAGGAGCGAAAGGGUGGGGAGCAAACAGGCUUAGAUACCCUGGUAGUCCACCCCGUAAACGUUGGGAACUAGUUGUGGGGUCCUUUCCACGGAUUCCGUGACGCAGCUAACGCAUUAAGUUCCCCGCCUGGGGAGUACGGCCGCAAGGCUAAAACUCAAAGGAAUUGACGGGGACCCGCACAAGCGGCGGAGCAUGCGGAUUAAUUCGAUGCAACGCGAAGAACCUUACCAAGGCUUGACAUACACGAGAACGGGCCAGAAAUGGUCAACUCUUUGGACACUCGUGAACAGGUGUGCAUGGUUGUCGUCAGCUCGUGUCGUGAGAUUGUUGGGGUUAAGGUCCCGCAACGAGCUG
rnacentral:rRNA from 1 species